AUGGCCACCUCCAAUGUGGAGAAGAGUAGCAAGAAGAAAACCGAGGAGAAACUUGCGGCUCGUGAAGAAGCCAAGCUGCUGGCGGGGUUCAUGGGCAUCAUGAACUACAUGAGGAAACAGAGAACUUUAUGCGAUGUGAUCCCCAUGGUUCAGGAAAGAAAGAUACCUGCUUAUUGUGUUGUCCUGGCUGCAGCCAGUCACUUUUCUAACUUAAUGUUCACAACUAAUAUGCUUGAAUCUAAGUCUUUUAACGUAGAACUCAAAGAUUCUGAACCUGAUAUUAUUGAACAACUGGUGGAAUUUGCUUAUACUGCUAGAAUUUCUGUGACUAGCAACAAUGUUCAGUCUUUGUUAGAUGUAGCAAAUCAGUACCAGAUUGAACCUGUGAAGAAAAUGUGUGCUGAUUUUUUGAAAGAACGAGUUGAUGCUUCAAAUUGUCUUGGUAUAAGUGUGCUUGCAGAGUGUCUGGACUGUCUUGAACAGAAGCAACAGCCAACGACUUUAUUCAUCAAUAUUUCACUGAAGUUUACAAAACCGAUGAAUUUCUACAACUUGAUGUUAAGCGAGUAGCACAUCUCAGCCAGGACAUCCUGGCUGUGAGAGCAGAGGAUCAGGUUUAUGAUGCUGCCAUGAGGUGGUUGAAAUAUGAUGAGCCUAACCACCAGCCAUUUAUGGUUGAUAUCCUUGCUAAAGUUGGGUUUCCCCUUAUAUCGAAGAAUUUCCUAAGUGAAACUGUACAAGCUGAACCACUUACUCGAGAUAAUCCUGAAUGCCUUAAAAUGGUGAUAAGUGGAAUGAGGUACCAUCUACCAUCUCCUGAAGAUCAAGAAGAACUUGCAGGUGGCACACAGCCUAGAAGAAAGAAACAUGAUUACCGCAUAGCUUUAUUUGCAGGCUCCCAACCACAGUCAUGUAGAUAUUUUAACCCAAAGGAUUACAGUUGGACAGACAUUCGCUGCUCCUUUGAAAAACAAAGAAAUGCAGCAUGUGUGUUUUGGGACAAUGUAGUACACAUUUUGGGAGGUUCCCAGCUUUUCCCCAUAAAGAGAAUGGAUUGAUGCAAUGUUGUAAAGGAUAGCUGCUAUUCCAAACUGGGCCCUCCAACGCCUCCAGACAACCUGGCUGCCUGUGCUGCAGAAGGCAAAAUUUAUACAUCUGGAGGUUCAGAAGUAGGAAAGCCAGCCCUAAAUUUGUUUGA